CGAGUGAUGUCUCUUGUCUCACAGAAAUAGUGCUUCCCAUCAAUGUCAAGCUCAGUUAAAUCUUGAAUAUUCUUUAUUUCUCCUUUACCCUGCUGCUGAGGAUUCUGAAGAGAUAUUUUGAUCCAUUGACUCUCUGUCACAGUAUAUACACAACCUCCACCAGGCAAAUUUGGAAUGCUGGCAGUUAACUUUGUAGCUACAAGAAGCAACCCAAAGCUUCCUAGGGCAGCAUAACC
rnacentral:misc_RNA from 1 species